GAGCUGGAAUUUGGUCCCCAGACCCCUUGGGAAGACGCGCACACCCUGGCAAACCAUGUGUACACCCGCAGUAGAAGCAGAGUUUUACUCUUGUUGCCCAGGCUGGAGUGCAGUGGCGCUAUCUCGGCUUGCCCAGGCUGGAGUGCAAUGGCGCUAUCUAGGCUCACCGCAACCUUCACCUACCAGGUUCAAGCGAUUCUCCUGCCUCAGCCUCCCAAGUAGCUGGGAUUACAGGCAUGAGCCACCAUGCCCGUCUAAUUUUGUAUUUUUAGUAGAGACGGGGUUUCUCCAUAUUAAGUCAGGCUGGUCUCGAACUCCCGACCUCAGGUGAUCCUCCCGCCUCAGCCUCCGAAAGUGCUGGGAUUACAGGCGUGAGCCACGGCGCCCGGCCCUGCCAUUUCUACUUAUUUACGUUGUUCCAAAUUAUCAAAGAUAGCAUCAACUUUCAAAUGCUAAUUUUUUUUUUCCUGGGAAACCUUCCUCCUUUAGCCUUCAGUCUCCUCUCUAAACUGGGUUGGGCCUCAGUUCUUCUCAUACCGGGUCUCCCCUUCCUGCUGUCCUGGGUUGUAUCUUCCGCUUCCUAGAUUUAAGGUCUUUAUUUUUUAGCCAAGAUGGGUCAUCGUCAUGGCUGGUGGCAUUGGACUGUAAAUACUAGUUGCCUUCAUCCCCACAUUUGGAAUAUACCUGCAAUCAUACAGGAUGCAGAAUACUGUUUGCUAAGCGUGGGGCUGGUUGCUGGAGAUAACAAGCAAGGCCUACCAGGUCCCUGCUGUCAUUCUGGCUCUGGAUCUACUUGCUUGGCUCCCCUGCCAGCCCUAGUAUAUCGAGCCUUCCUUUUUAUUCAAUAGUGUUUUUUAUUGCUGACUUUUCAGUCAAGAUUUCUUUGUGUUUUCUGGCCUACCCUUGCUGUUUUUCACCUGAAAUACUUUUUGGCUUUUAGUGUGACUCCUGCUGAUCUCAUAUGCAUAUGUUAUUAAUUGAUUAAUUAUUAAUUGUUAAUAAUUAAAUAUUAUUAAUAUGCUUACAUUAUUACCUUGAGUUCUGGAACUGCCUCACUGCACUCCAUGUGGUGAAUACUGUAGAAAUUAUAUAAGGAAAAAUAUAUCCUUAGAAAUGAGUAUUUUUUAAAUUUUGAAAAUAUUUAAUUUAGGCCCAGCCCAGUUGCUCACACCUGUAAUCUCAGCACUUUGGGAGGCUGAGGUGGGCAGAUUGCUUUAGGCCAGAAGUUAGAAACCAGCAUGGGCAACAUGCUGAAACUCCAUCUCUACUAAAAAUACAAAAAUUGGCCAGGUCUGGUGGUGUACACCUGUAGUCCCAGCUACUCAGGAGGCUGAGGCACAAGAAUUUCUUGAACCCAGGAAGCAGAGGUUGCAGUGAGCAAGAUCAUGCCACUGCACUCCAACCUGGGCGACAGAGUGAGACCCCGUCUCAAAAAGAAAAAAAAAUUGGGCUGGGCACAGUGGCUCGUGCCUGUAAUCCCAACACUUUGGGAGGCCAAGGCGGGAGGAUCACCUGAGGUCAGGAGUUCGAGACCAGCCUGGCCAACAUGGCAAAACCCCGUCUGUACUAAAAAUACAAAAAUUAGCUGGGUGUGGAGUCGGACGCCUGUAGUCCCAGCUACUCAGGAGGCUGAGGCACAAGAAUGGCUUGAACUCGGGAGGCAGAGGUUGCAGUGAGCCAAGAUCACGCCAUUGCACUCCAGCCUGGGCGACAGAGCAAGACUCCAUCUAAAAAAAAAAAAAAAAAAACAAACAAAACAAAAAAUAUAUUGAUACACAAAAUUUUUACAUAUUUAUGGAGUUCAUGUGAUAUUUUGCUUUGCUUCAUACAUAGAAUGUACAAUAAUCAAGUCAGGAUAUUUAAGGUAUCAAUCACUUUGAGUAUUUAACAUUUCUAUGUGUUGGGAAAAUUUCAAGUCCUCUCUUCUAGCUAUGGAAAUUUACAGUACUUUGUUAACUACAGUCACCCUACUCUGCUAUUGAACAUUACAAGUUAUCCCUUCUUCCUAAGUGUAUGUUUGUACCCAUUACCCAACUUCUCUUCAUCCACCUCUCCCACCCACGUACACCCUUCCAAUCUCUGGUAUCAUUCUACUCUCUACCUCCAUGAGAUCAACUUUUCUAGCUCCCACAUGUAAGUAAGGACAUGUGAUAUUUGCCUUUCUGUGUCUGGCUUAUUCACUUAACAUAAUGACCUCCAGUUCCAUCCAUGCUGUAAACAUGAUUUCAUUUUUUAUGGCUUAAGUCCACUGUGUAUAUAUAUCAUAUUUUCUUUAUUCAUUUGUCCACUGAUCAACACUUAGUUGAUUCCAUAUCUUUGCUAUUGUAAACACGGCUCUACAGUAAACACGGAGAUGCAGGUUAUCUUUUUUAUAUACUGAUUUCUUUUCCUUUGGAUAAAUUCCAGGUAGUGGGAUUGCUGGAUCACAUGGUAGUUCUUUUUUUUUUUUUUUUUUGAGACGGAGUUUUGCUUUUGUUGUCUAGGUUGGAGUGCAAUGCCCUGGUCUCGGCUCAUUGCAGCUUCUGCCUCCCAGGUUCAAGUGAUUUUCCUGCCUCAGCCUCACAAGUAGCUGGGAUUACAGGCACCCUCCAUCACACCCAGCUAAAUUUUGUAUUUUUAGGAGAGAAGGGGUUUUGCCGUGUUGGCUAGGCUAUUGUGAACUUCUGACCUCUGGUGAUCAACCAGCCUUGGCCUCCCAAAGUGCUGGGAUUACAGGUGUGAGUCACCAUGCCCAGCCCACAUGGUAGUUCUGUUUUUGUUUUGUUCAGACAUCUCCAUAUUGUUUUCAAUAGUGGCUGCACUAACUUACGUUCCCACCAACAGUGUGUAGGAGUUCCCUUCUCUUUUUUUUUCUUUUUUUUUGGAGAAGGAGUUUCACUCUUGUUGCCCAGGCUGGAGUGCAAUGGCACAAUCUUGGCUCACCGCAACCUCCGCCACCAGGGUUCAAGCGAUUCUCCUGCCUCAGCCUCCCGAGUAGCUGGGAUUACAGGCGCGUGCCACCACUCCUGGCUAAUUUUGCAUUUUUAGUAGAGAAGAGGUUUCUCCAUGUUGGUCAGGCUGAUCUUGAACUCCCGACCUCAGGUGAUCCACCCACCUCAGCCUCCCAAAAUGCUGGGAUUACAGGCGUGAGCCACUGCGCCCAGUCAAGAGUUGCCUUCUCUUAGCAUCCUUGCCAAUACCUGUCAUGUUUUGUCUUCUUAAUAACAGCCAUUCUAACUAAGGUACAAUAAUAUCUCAUUGUGUGCUUUUUUGUUUUUGAGUCAGAGUCUCGCUCUGCAGCCUAGGCUGGAGUGCAGUGGCGCAACCUCAGCUCACUGCCACCUCCCCCUCCUGGGUUCAAACGAUUCUCCUGCCUCAGCGUCCUGAGUAGCUGGGAUUACAUACGUGCACCACCAUGCCCAGCUAAUUUGUUUGUUUGUUUGUUUGAGACGGAGUCUCGCUCUGUUGCCCAGGCUGGAGUGCAGUGGCGCGAUCUUGGCUCACUGCAAGCUCCGCUUCCCGGGCUAACGCCAUUCUCCCGCCUCAGCCUCCGGAGCAGCUGGCACUACAGGUGCCCGCCACCACGCCAGCUAAUUUUUUGUAUUUUUAGUAGAGAUGGGGUUUCACCGUGUUAGCCAGGAUGAUCUCGAUCUCCUGAUCUCAUGAUCCACCCACCUCGGCCUCCCAAAGUGCUGGGAUUACAGGCGUGAGCCACCGCGCCCAGCCACCCAGCUAAUUUUUGUAUUUUUAGUAGAGAUGGAGUUUCGCCAUGUUGGGAAGGCUGGUCUCAAACUCCUGACCUCAGGUGAUCCGCCCACCUCGGCCUCCUAAACUGCUGGGAUUAUAGGCGUGAGCCACCAGGCCGGCUUCAUUGUAGUUCUGAUUUGCAUUUCCCUGAUGAUUAGUGGUGUUGAGCAUUUUUUCAUGUACCUGUUGACCAUUUGCAUGUUUUAUUUUGAUUCUCCUUCUAUUAUGAUUAUUAUUAUUAAUUAUCAUUAUUAUUGAGACAGGUUCUCACUCUGUCACACAGGCUGGAGUGCAGUGGUAUGAUCACAGCUCACUGCAGCCUCAACCUCCCUGGGUUCAGGUGAUCCUCCCACCUCAGCCUUCAAGUCGUUGGAACUAGAAGUGUGCAACACCAUGCCUGGCUAAUUUUCGUUUUUGUAGAGAUAGGGUCUCUCCAUGAUGCCCAGGCUGGUCUGGAACUCCUGGGCUCAAGUGAUCCUCCCACCUCAGCCUCCCAAAGUGCUAGGAUUACAGGUGUGAGCCACCAUGCCCAGCCUAUUAUUGUCAUUUUGAAACAGAGUCUCACUCUGUCACCCAGGUUGGGGUGCAGUGGCAAGAUCAAAGCUCACUGCAGCCUGGAACUCUUGGGCUCAAGUGAUCUAUGCUCCCACUUCCACCUCCUGAGUAGCUAAGACUACAGGUGAGUGGCUAUUUGGAUUAUCUUUUUAAACAGAGUAGCAACUUGAACCAAAAAUACUUUUGUUUGUUCAGAUCCUAUGUUGUAAAUCACUUCUCUUUGAACUAAGUAUGCAGAAGACUUAAGAAGAUGAAGCUGAACAAUAAAAAUAUUAACUAAACAGACUGAAAGAAACUUUUUUUUUUUUUUUUAGAUGGAGUCUCGCUCUAUCGCCAGACUGGAGUGCAGUAGCGUGAUCUUGGCUCACUGCAACCUCCAACUCCCUGGUUCAAGCGAUUCUCUUGCCUCAGCCUCCUGAGUAGCUGGGAUUACAGGCACGCACCACCACACCCAGCUAGUUUUUGUAUUUUUAGCAGAGACAGGGUUUCACCAUGUUGGCCAGGAUGCUCUUGAUCUCCUGACCUCGUGAUCCGCCUGCCUUGGCCUCCCAAAGUGCUGGAAUUACAGACAUGAGCCACUGCACACUGUACCCGGCCUGUGUUUUUUUUUUUUUUUUUUAAGACAGAGUCUCACUCUGUGGCCAAGGCUGGAGUGCAGUGGUACGAUCUCGGCUCACUGCAACCUCUGCCUCCCGAGUUCAAGCAAUUCUCAUGCCUCAGCCUCCCAAGUAGCUGAAAACAGCACAACCUGCUAAUUUUUGUAUUUUUAGUAGAGAUGGGGUUUUGCCAUGUUGGCCAGGCUGGUCUCAAACUCCUGGCUUCAAGUGAUCCACCGUCCUCGGCCUCCCAAAGUGCUGGGAUUACAGGUAUGAGCCAUAGCGCCAGGCCUGAAACAAACUUUCAAGUAAGACUAAAACUGUUCCGUGUAGCUGAUGAGUUGUUUUUCCUGCCACUCAUUAUAAAAAUACAAAAAUUGGCCGGGCACAGUGGCUAACACCUGUAAUCCUACCACUUUGGGAGGCUUAGAUAGACAGAUCACUUGAGCCCAUGAGUUCAAGACCAGCCUGGGCAAAACCCCAUCUGUACAAAAAAUACAAAAAUUAGCUGGGCAUAGUGGCAUAUGCCUGUAGUCCCAGUUACUCAAGAGGCUGAGAUGAGAACGAGAAACACCUGAGCCCAGGAGGUCGAGGCUGCAGUGAGCCGUGACUGUGCCACUGCAUUCCAGCCUAGGCUAUGGUGAGACCCUGUCUCAAGAAAUAACAAGAACAAAAUGCUCUUGCUUUCAAAUUAUUUUAUUGCCCAUCAAAUUGUAAAUGUUUCUUCAAGACUCUUGAUCAGAUAAUUAUGAGAAGUCACAAAACAUACAGGAGAUGACUGGGCUUCAAUCGACUUUACUUGUCAAUAACAGAGUACAACUGAACUUUAAGUGGGAGCUGAAUUUCUUUCUUUCUUUUUUGAAACAGAGUUCCGCUCUUGUUGCCCAGGCUGGAGUGCAAUGGCACGAUCUUGGCUCACUGCAACCUCCGCCUCCCGGGGUCAAACGAUUCUCCUGCCUCAGCCUCCCGAGUAGCUGUGAUUACAGGCAUGUGCCACCAUGCCUGGCUAAUUUUGUAUUUCUUUUUUUUUUUUAGUAGAGACAGGGUUUCUCCAUGUUCGUCAGGCUGGUCUCGAACUCCUGACCUCAGGUGAUCUGCCCACCUUGGCCUACCAAAGUGCUGGGAUUACAGGUGUGAGCCACUGCGCCUGGCUUUUUUUUUUUUUUUUAAUAGUGUCUUGCUGUUACUCAGACUGAAGUGGCGCCAUCAUAGCUCACUAUAGCCUCAAACUCCUGGGCUCAAGCUAUCCUCCUUCUUCACCCUCCCCCACCAUGCUCGGCUAAUUUUUAAAAUUUUUAGUAGAAAUGAGGUCUUGCUGUUUUCCAGGCUCGUCUCAAACUCCCAAGCUCAUGCAAUCCUCCUGCCUUAGCCUCCCAAAGUGCUGGGAUUACAGUUGUGAGCCACUGUACCCAGCUGAGAGCUGAAGUUUCUUGCAUAAAACUCAGCUGUAUGCUGAAGUGUUUAGAAGUGAAAUGUAAUGAUGUCUGCAACUUACUUUGAAAUACAUUAAUAAAAUGGAUAAAUGAAUGGAUAGAGGGAUGGAUAGGCAGAUUGACAUGUGUAAAACAAAUAGAGAAAAAUGUUAUUUGUAGAAUCUAGGUGAUGCUAAAGGCCACACAGCCAGUGGGGACUGAGCCAAGCUAGGAAUCCAGGUCCAUCAAUUCAGGAGAGGCUAUGUGGUGAAGUAAAGAUAACACCCAGUUACCAGUUUUUGAAUCUGUUUUUGUUUUGAGACAGAGUCCUGCUUUGUAGCCCAGGCUGGAGUGCAAUGGAGCCAUCUCGGCUUACUGCAACCUCUGUCUCCCAGGCUCAAGUGAUCCUCUUGCCUCAGCCUCCUGAGUAGCUGGGACUACAGGCAUGUGCCACCACGCCUGGCUAAUUUUUUGGUAUAGAUGGGGUUUCACUAUAUUGCCCAGCUGGUCUCAAACUCCUGACCUCAAGUGAUUAACCAGCCUCAGCCUCCCAAAGUGCUGGGAUCACAGGUGUGAGCCACCGCGCCCGGCACCAGUUCCCAUUAAUAAUUAUCUUGGAACCCAAGGAUUCAAAGAAGCAGUCUUUUCAAAGAGAUAUUUGAGUCACUGACCACCAGUCCUGGAAUGCAGAAAUGCUUAGUCCCACCUACCUCUUUUGUUCAUUCCUUCAAAAGUUUGCUCUUCAAAAGUAGGGCUAGCAGAUCUAAAUGGGCCAGAAAGAACUCUCUUAACUGUUGUUUUUUGUUUUGUUUUGUUUUUUGAGACUGGAGUCUCGCUCUGUC